GACGAACGCUGGCGGCGUGCUUAACACAUGCAAGUCGAACGGAGCUGUUUAUUUCGGUAGAUAGCUUAGUGGCAAACGGGUGAGUAACGCGUAGGCAACCUGCCCUUAGGAUGGGGACAACGGCCCGAAAGGACCGCUAAUACCGAAUGGACUCUAACUUUCGCAUGAAAGAAAGAGGAAAGAUGGUGCAAGCCAUCGCCGAAGGAAGGGCCUGCGUCUGAUUAGCCAGUUGGUGAGGUAACGGCUCACCAAAGCAACGAUCAGUAGCCGGUCUGAGAGGAUGAACGGCCACAAUGGGACUGAGACACGGCCCAUACUCCUACGGGAGGCAGCAGUGGGGAAUCUUCCGCAAUGGGCGAAAGCCUGACGGAGCAACGCCGCGUGAGUGAAGAAGGUCUUCGGAUCGUAAAGCUCUGUUGUUGGGGACGAAAGAAAAGGGGAGGAAAUGCCCUAUUAAGACG
rnacentral:rRNA from 1 species